rnacentral:rRNA from 1 species
GGUAAGGCCCUUUCGGGGGUACACGAGCGGCGAACGGGUGAGUAACACGUGGGCGACCUGCCCCCAGCUCUGGGAUAAGCCUGGGAAACUGGGUCUAAUACCGGAUAUGACCGACUACUGCAUGGUGGUUGGUGGAAAGUUUUUUCGGCUGGGGAUGGGCCCGCGGCCUAUCAGCUUGUUGGUGGGGUGAUGGCCUACCAAGGCGACGACGGGUAGCCGGCCUGAGAGGGCGACCGGCCACACUGGGACUGAGACACGGCCCAGACUCCUACGGGAGGCAGCAGUGGGGAAUAUUGCGCAAUGGGCGAAAGCCUGACGCAGCGACGCCGCGUGGGGGAUGACGGCCUUCGGGUUGUAAACCUCUUUCGACCUUGACGAAGCCUUUCGGGGUGACGGUAGGGGUAGAAGAAGCACCGGCCAACUACGUGCCAGCAGCCGCGGUAAUACGUAGGGUGCGAGCGUUGUCCGGAAUUAUUGGGCGUAAAGAGCUCGUAGGCGGUCUGUCGCGUCGGUCGUGAAAACUUGGGGCUUAACCCUGAGCUUGCGGUCGAUACGGGCAUGACUGGAGUUCGGCAGGGGAGACUGGAAUUCCUGGUGUAACGGUGAAAUGCGCAGAUACCAGGAGGAACGCCGGUGGCGAACGCUGUCUCUGGGCCGAUCUGACGCUUAGAGCGAAUCGUGCGGAGCAACAUGAUAGAUCCCUGGUAUCCCGCCGAAACGGUGGCGCUAGUGUGGGGCCAUUCACGGUCUCUUGCCCAGCUAAGCAUUAACGCCCUCCUGGGAGUACGGCCGCAGGCUAAACUCAAUGAUUGACGGGG